rnacentral:lncRNA from 1 species
GUACGUUAAUCUAAUAUAAAUGCCGUGAUUGUUUAAGAAAAAAACAAAUAUUACGACGUUUCUAAUAAUAUCCUUCGUUAUAUGUUAAAUACAAAUUUUGAAAAAGUACGUUCCCCUCCUCUUAAGGCCAUUAAUUUUUUCUGAUCAACAAACAUCUAUGGUUCGAGAAAGAUUGGUAGCCCUUGAUGAAACCGUCCCAAACUUCUAGUUCUAAUUCAUCAGGUUGAAGUCCUUUUACCAUCUUUUGAUUUCAUUUAGAAAUUUCCCUUUUUGGUCCUUUAAUCCUAUGUCUUUUUUUUUCUUCAAUUUGAUUUUUCCAUUUUAGGUUUCUUCUUGUGGUGUUUUCGAUGUUCUUUGCUUCACUUUCACAAUUGAUCAUACUGUUGCUAAGAAUAGAUUCCAAGUUACUUUGAUUUCAUCUUCCGAUACGGAACCCUACUGUGUGCUAAUGGAAGAACCUUAUCGGCAGAUGUGCCCCAGUGGAGUUUAAAAGACAAUACCAUGGCGUGCUAGAAUCUUUCAUCUUUAACAGGGACAGGACAAGCCAUUUAUAUAAAAAUCUUAACGUGGGUUGGGUUCUUAACGAAUCUAGCUGCUUAUAUGUCUAUGUUCACGCCAUUGCCAACGAUCAGAAGAAUGAGUUUUAAUAUAAAAGUGGGUUUCCGUCAAAAGUAGUUUUGGUUAAUUAUUUUAAUGAAAUGCCACAAACCCCUAUCCAAAUUAUAAAAAACAUUAAUUCAUGGCCAAUGUAGAAACAAGAAAAUUGAAGUGAAUUAAACACCUUUUUCAUUCUUUUUCUUUUCUCGUGGGAAAGUGAUAAAAGUGUAUAGUAAGAUGAGGAUAAAAUUAUCAAAAGCACGAAACAGGAAUUGGAUUUCGAUGAGUGAUUCCCUACCGUUAAGAAACUAACGGAAACAUAAACAAAAACGAUAAGAAACCGUUGGAUCUAGGGACAUAUCAGCAAAUUUAAAACCUAACCUUAUCGAUAAGCACAUUGUACACUUUUGUUUUGUCCUUUUAGAGAAUGAUCUCAGCCACUCCCACUUACACCACCUUUAUAAUUGACCCCUUCAUCAUUAAGCUGCAAUUGAGAUCCCUGCCUGCCUCUCUUCUCACACUGGACAUGUACAUUUUUGCUCUCAUUUCAGUCAUAAACGACCACAUUUUUCAUUGUUCAUACUUCUUCCACCAGUUCUGGGGAACAUGAUGACACUGCAUCAGCAACAGUGAGGAAGAUCUUGUCGUUGCCGAUUAAAUUUGCAAAAUUCGACGCGUGAAGCUUGUCAAUCACCACUGGUCCAGGAUUUGCCAGAAUAAGCUGUGCAUCAAUGCAGGAAACCUCAGGUAACUGGUAAAAGCUAUUAGACUGCAUUGCUUUUAAGAUAGAUUAUAUUUGUCUAUUAGUUAUAGUCUAUAGUUAAAGGUAGAUUUUGUCGCAUCAUAUAAUUAUUUUGAGCCAUCAUUUAUUUAAUUACCUGAACAUUUUUUUUCUGAAGACUCCUGUAUAAUUCUUGAAAGGCAUGGAUGCCACUGGUAUCAAUGUCAGUUACAGCUGCACAUAGAAAAACACAGGAUAUUAGGAAAAGUGAGCUUGAACUGCAAAUAAUGGAUCCUUAAAACCAGUCUAGAAUUCUUACGUGACAUCUCAACUAUCAAAAACUGGAUUGUUGGCUGGCAUGCAGCUUUUACUUGCUCUUCUUCAUCCCUCAACCAUCUCAAAAUCCUGCAAGGAUAUCGCUGACUUUUAGCACCCUGAAAUCUAAUUGAAACCUGGCUGAUUCAGCCAAAUCCUAAAACAUUGAAACCUAUCAUAACUCUAAUAUACUAGUAUACUUUAAGGGUCUUGAUUUGAAACAUUUCACUACACAUAUUUUGAAACAAGCUCAAAUAAAUCAAGGAGUACUUAAAAAAAUGAAUUUGUACCAUCCAACACUUUUAGCCUUGUACCUAGUGAAUAUUGUUAAAUUUUACCAAGUGAAAGAAAAUCCACUUCCCCUGCUGUCUCUAAUAAUUAUAAGUUUGAUUGUUCUCUUGCAUGCAACUGCCAUUGCUAACUAUCUCCCCGCAGGAUUUACUGAAAAGUUCUAUUCUUUUAGUGAAACUCAGGAAUUUAUAUAACUUUACUAGUUUCAUGCAAAACCAGACCUUGAAAUCUGGUUCUUGGGAGAUUAGCAAUUUCCAGGAAUUGCCCUAGAUAUCUAUUAUGAGUUAUAGAAUACCUUCCUUUAAAUGAAACCUACAGACCAUAAAAAGACUAAGAAGGAUGUAUACCUCUCCUUGACAUAAUUAGAGUUGGAAAAGUAAAUAGCUGAAUCAACUCUGACGAUCAGAACCCCUGGAACUUUAGCUGCUUCUGGAUAUUGUAGGAUAUUUCGGUACACAGUAGUCCUAGGGAGCUUCCCGAGUAUAGCAGUUCGAGGCCUAGUAACUUGUAAGAGGAUUUUAGCAAAGGAUAUUGAGACCUGCAAUGAAGUCAGUGACAACAGAUUUAAAUCAAACAUAUGAAGAGUGUAUAGUUCAUCUUCAGGAAUUUUAGACAGUAGACAACAAAGUUCUUACAGCAAUUAAGAGACCUUUCUCAACUGAUGAAAAGACUACUCCAAGAAAGGCUCCCAGGCAUGCAACAAAAUCAAAUUUAUCAAUCUUCCAUAUCAAAAUUGCUGCUGGAACAUCGAAAAGCCCAACCACAGCUGAUAUAAUGAUGGCAGCGAGAAUAGCAUUUGGGGUGUACUUGAAAAGAGGUGUUAUGAAUUCUAAGGUUAGAAAUACAACACAGGACAUAAUGAUGUUAGAGACUGCGGUUUGGCAGCCAGCCAUGUAAUUAACGGCUGAUCGAGAAAAUGAACCUGCAAGUAAUGAAGGAAUAACAUCAUCAGUUAUAUACCAAUAGAAUUACGUGACUUCGUGUGUGCAUGUCUAUGUUUUCAAUAUGUCUGAUUCAUAUUGACAUAUAAAAAAAGAUCUAAUAAGCAAGCUGCAAAUGAAACAUGUCAGUCAGUUUUUUAUAUUUUCAAUGCAUGAUUUAACAUAUAGCUCAAGGAAAUGAAUUACUGAUAUUUUUAGUAGAUACAUAUGAUUUUUUUAUGAUUUUUUUUAGUUUCAGUAGUUUGAACUUUGAGUGCAAAAGUGAGUAGGUUGCCAUAAUAAACAUGUUCUAGCUUCUCACCUGUUGCCACAUAGCAGGAAGUCAUUGACCCAACAACAUUCAUUGCUCCUAGUGCCACCAUUUCUCUGUUUCCAUCUAAUUGAUAGUCUUUCAUUGAAGCAAAAGUUCUUCCAAUGGCUACAGCUUCCUGUUAAAUCGACCCACCAUAGAAGAAAAAAAUUGUAGCAUGAAAGGUCUAUUUAGAUGCAAUGUCAUAAUUAAUUUUCUUGGUCAGUGAUGAUGGAUAGAAGAAACAACAAAUUGGCUUACCGUCAAUGCUAUCAUACCAGCAACAACACCAAUCUUCAAACCUUUAAGAAGAUAUUCACCAUGGAAAUAAAUUUUAUUCACAGAUGUGGGAUUGAUUCCUUUCUCGAUGUUUUUCACCUGCAUAGAUGAAAGAAAAGUGGUGCUGCUAUAAUUACUCAUUACCAAAACUACUACAAUAUCUGCCGUCAUGGAACUAUUAAAUUACAAUAUUUUACUAAAAGAUUAUUAUAGGUUAAAGAAAAGGAGCUUACAAUCUGAACUCCUUUCUUUUCAGCAUGUGUUAUAUAAACGAAGAAGGUGGAGAGAACAACAGAUAUCAAAGGAGCUAUUGCAGGAACCCAGAAAAAUUUCUUGUUCUUUUUUCC